AAUGCCGAAUGCUAUAUUCCCUGUAAACCAGGAUAUGACAGCGGGAGAACCAAUUAAUUGGGGUGAAUUCAGAGAUUUGAGUUUAAAUUAUCAGAUCGACGAUAGGGGACCUUCUUCUCCGAACCCGUCAGCUAAUCUCGUAGGCGAAG
rnacentral:sRNA from 1 species